AUUUACAACAUACAAACCAACAACCCAUGAGCCAACACAAGAUUCCAAAACAAUCUGGGGAAGAAAAGCAGAACUUCCGUCGGGGCUAUAUAGCAAAUCACCUGCGAUAGACUGAAAAUGGCAACCCAUUGGUCAGAAACAUCCACCAACAGCUCUACACAUCAGAAACAAGACAAAUCCAGAGUCCAGUCAAACUAAAUCAAGAACAUCAACACUAGAAAACCCAUUGUUCCUUUGUAGCCUGAGAAAAGCCAAAUGAGCUCAUCAACUGCUUGAGUUUCUCGUGUUGAGACACUCGGUAAGGAUGACAAAGUUGGACUCCAGUGGGUUGCUAGACAACAUAAGGUGCUUACCAUUAACAGGAAUUUUGAUCCUUACCUGAUGCCACCCUGGAUGCACGAGGCUGUCGAUUCUUAAUCCAGCUAUGGGUACCCCCAAAACAUAUCGGUAUUUAAAUGACCUCACCAUACAAGCUCUUAGAUCUUCAAGAAACCAAACAAACCCAAAAGACUAUAAACAACUCAGUUCGGAGAGGGGAGGGUAACCCAUUCCCCUGCUGGAGAGACCACCAUUCCCUGCCCAGAGCAGGGAAUGACCACUGGAGACCGUCCUUUGAGAGAAACCAAAACCUGAGUUAUAGAGAAAAUUCUCUUCCUAGUUUACUAGAGAGAGACGUUG
rnacentral:misc_RNA from 1 species